GGGGGUUCGGGCGACCCAGGGGACUUUGACCACACUAUGAAGCACCAGGAAGGGGAAUUUGACGUAUGCAUCAACUCCCUACCCUGGUUGCCAGAGGUUCUGUAUCUUUCGCCUUAUUCCCGCUCGUAUUUAUUUUACGCGAGGCGAAGAGAACCUCUGGUGGCACGCGAUACAAAUCUCUCUUCCUUUGGUACAAAAUUUGUACCAAGCACAUGAUUGGUUAGUUAUAAUUAGCAGUCACAUGAAGUGAUGUGAUUGGCUAGACAAAAAAACCUGUUUAUAAAUCUCAGAGAACAUAUAAAUGUAAACAAAAUACAGAAAUAAUACGAACGUAUUAAAAUGCUUUGCUUGGUGUGGG